CCGGGCAGCCCAGCUGAAGGCAAUAAGCUGGGCUCACCGCUGCAGCAGAGUUCUGUGCUAGCCGGGCAUAGGGGCGAGAGAAGGCCCAGAGGCGACGUCAGAGAGAAGCAACUGCGCCCCGGUGAAGAGAAGCUCGCCCAUCACCGGCUGGGAGCCAGCUUUCAGUGAAGAUGGCAGGGCCAGAACUGUUGCUUGACUCCAACAUCUGCCUCUGGGUGGUCCUACCCAUCGUUAUCACUCUUCGUAGACAUGAUCCGCCACUACGUGUCCAUCCUGCUGGAGAGCGACAAGAAGCUCACCCAGGAACAAGUAUCUGACAGGGGACGAGGCACCCACAGUCCCUCUCCCAUAAGCCUGCCAAGAAGAUUGAUGUGGCCCGUGUAACCUUUGACCUGUACAAGCUGAACCCACAGGACUUCAUUGGCUGCCUGAACAUGAAGGCGACUUUUUAUGAUACGUACUCCCUUUCCUAUGAUCUGCACUGCUGUGGGGCCAAACGCAUCAUGAAGUGAGCAAAUUGGGGUUUCCUGGGGACAAGGAGCUCGAGGCUAAUGGAGUCAAAGCAGCUGUGGUCAGUGAACAGGAAAAGGCAGCCUUUGAUGAGGCUGGGGGGCUGGGGAGGGAAGAUUCCAAACAGCAAAGGAGCUUGAGCCUCAGUAGGGCCUGGCGAUCCUAGUGGGAGAAUGGCCUUUCCUGGAGACCCCCCCGCACAGCCAGGAGCAGCUGUCGUCAAGGUGGGCUGUGUCCCAGCCCCUCCAGCUCAGCCUUUUCAUCUGUUCAGGCUGGUGCUCACGAGUGCACAGGACGCCUUUCAGAAGGAGGAUUCUAAAUCCCGGGGGUCUGUAAUGGCACAGCCACAUGUCUGAGCCCAAAACAAGAGAACCACAUGUGUUUUUGCCACACUUCUUGCCAGUGCUGUCCAUAUUUGUGUACAUAAUUUUU
rnacentral:lncRNA from 1 species